GAACAGCACCACACCACAAACCCCCCUGCCCCCUUCUCUCUCGAUCAGCCUAGCCUAUCUCCGGCGACAUGCGCCGGCCACUCUCCGACAACCACGCCCCACACUGCGUCUCCUUCUGCCUUGGAAGUUAUAUACGAAUCUGGAACAACAAGUUCAUCAACAGAUCUGGAAGUUAUAUACGAAUCUGGAACAACAGAUCUGGAACAAAAGUUCAUACGAAUCUGGAAGUUUUUUGAUCUGGAACAACAAGUUCAUACGAAUAUGGAAGUUCAUACGAAUCUGGAAGUUCAUACGAAUCUGGAAGUUAUAUAAGAGAUCUUAUAAAUAUGCAUCAAAAAGCACGUUCUAAAGGCUUCAUAAUACUUGUUUUGUCACAAGAGAUGAUUGUUGAGUUGCUGAGUUGCUCGGAAGGUGUUCGAUGUUGGUUUCGAUUCUCCAGAGCUGAAAAAUGAGAUGGGUGUGGGUUAAUGUUAUUGAAUUUGUUAAAGGAAUAUGUAAUUUUAUUUUCUUUAUGUUAGUAGAUUUUAUACAUUUUUUGUUUGUAAAUUUGUAUAAAUUUAUGAUUAAUGUUAUUGAAAUUUUAUA